CCUACGGGAGGCAGCAGUGGGGAAUCUUGGGCAAUGGGCGAAAGCCUGACCCAGCGACGCCGCGUUGGGGAUGAAGCCCUUCGGGGUGUAAACCCAUGUUGUAGGGGACGAAGAAAGUGACGGUACCCUACGAGGAAGCCCCGGCUAACUACGUGCCAGCAGCCGCGGUAAGACGUAGGGGGCAAGCGUUGUCCGGAAUUACUGGGCGUAAAGGGCACGCAGGCGGUGCGCCAAGUCGAGGGUGUAAAGUUACGGCUCAACCGUGAAAUUGCAAUCGAUACUGGCGCGCUGGAGUGCGGGAGAGGGAAGUGGAAUUCCCGGUGUAGCGGUGAAAUGCGUAGAUAUCGGGAGGAACGCCAGUGGCGAAGGCGGCUUCCUGGCCCGCGACUGACGCUCAUGUGCGAAAGCCAGGGGAGCGAACC
rnacentral:rRNA from 1 species